rnacentral:tRNA from 1 species
AUAUAGCAUAGUGGUAGAGUACUUGCCUAGCAUGCAUGAGGCCCUGGGUUCAAUUCCCAGCAU